UCAGAAUACUGUGAUCUUCCUUUUUGGAAAAUGAAGUUUCAGCGAAAAAGAGCUUGAUAUUGUAUUUGCCUUUACGCAAGCAGAAGGCAUAAUAGGUGAGGGAGAUAGGAGCAACACGAGCAUUGGCGUAUAGGUCUCCCUCAGGAACGGAAACUCCACAUGUUAAGUUCUCUAUGUAACCAUUUGCAGUGAUGGUCGUCGGGGUGAUGAAGUCUCCAGAAAAGCUAUAAGCCCAAUUUCCAUCAGGACUUUCAUAAAAGUUUGAUAUUGCAGUAUCAUUUUCAUAAUUUUGCUUGUCAAACUUCACUUGGUCACCACCACAGUUUAUAGACAGGGAGUGAGCUGCAACAAACAUUUAUUAGUAAUCACUAUAUUUAAAAGUUUUUAUUUAGAGUCUAUUUAGCAAAAUUAACUUGUUGGCUAUUUUAGUAGCAUUUAACUGUUUGAAUAACUUUGCUAAGAGCAAAAAUUACGGCGUUUAGUGUUUCAUUAGCUAUUUAAAACUGUUGUCGAUCACAAUUUUAACCUUUUUUUUUUUUAUUUCUACAAGCAAUUAAAUAUAUUCUUAAUACAUAAAAAAAAUUCUCACUAAAUUCUAUAAGUUGCGGAUAGUAAACUUACUUUUUUUAUGACAUUUUUUCGCUUUCUGAGAUAUGUACUCGCUGAAAGAUAAAUAAAUGUGUAAAUUGUAAUUAGACACAUAUAAUUCAAGAUUCAUUACAUAAAAUUAAAGAUGUAAAAGCAAGCAUACCUCGUUGGCUCACUGAAUAGCCAUCAACAAUAUGCAAGUAGUAAGCAAAAAAGCAAGGUGAGUUUUGAAACAAUUUACAAUGCUCCAAACAACAGAUAAUGUGAAAUAUGUUUCCAAUUUACAUGAUAAUCGUAUUUGACGAAGGUUGAAGUGUUCCAUUUUCAUGGUUUGGCAUAUUUGUGAAAUCAUUGUGCGAAAGAUCACUGCAAGACAAAAUGGAAUUAUUUGCUAACUCCACAUACAAAUAUAUAUAAAGAUUAAAUUACUGUGUUAAUUUUUAUUUUGAUGCAUUAUACACUUUGACUUAUAAAAAUGUACGUAUUAAACACUUUAAUUUUAUCUAUUGAACACAUCAACUUAUAAAAUUAGAUUGAUUAAAUAUUUUAUUAAAUAAUUAAAAAAAAAGUGAAAAUUAUUAUUCCAAUGAUUAUAUUAACCACAUAUCAAAUUAGUAUUUUACAUGUAAAAAAAAUAAAAACCUUAAAAUUACUGUUGCUAGUGUGAGAGGGUAUUUAAUUAUUAUAAAAAAUGAAAUUGAGAGGAACCCUAUUUUAAAAUUCAAAAUGUCGCAAUAUUUAUUUAUCAAAGUCGAAGAACUACAUCAUAUAUUCCCCAAUGAACAAAGAAAAUUAAUUGGACAUGAAUGUGGCUAAGAACACCUUAAUGCUGAUUCAUACCGAGACAUGCUAUCGAGUAUAUUCUUGAAUAGCCCAAAUUCAAUAAAUUAAGAUUCAGCUGUGCACGCGCUUUUAUAUAUAUAUAUAUAUAUAUAUAUUUUAUGUACUUACAGUUCAAGUGGUCGAUAAAGCUGUGGUGAUUGCUUACUGAUCCACCGAGGAAAUUUCCCAUUAAACUUAUUUCUUGAUAAAAAUCUAACAUAAAAAAAAAAAAAAAAAAAAAAAAAUUGAACCCAUUAGACAUAUUUCAACUUUGAAUAUUAUUGUAAUGAAAACAAAAGAAUAAUAUUAUAAUUACUAUAUAAAUUGUGUAUAGUAAUUUAAUUAUUAUCUAUCAUAUGGAAUCUAUAUACACAAUGUAAAUUAUUCAUUUGCAUGAUUGAUUGUGAUUAAACAAUAUUAGGAGAGAAAAUAUCUCACAUACAUCGUUCCUGUACCAAACUCUUGGAUUUCACCAGUUAAGUUGUUGAAACUCAAAUCACUGCAAGAAGGAAACAUCAAACAUUAAUUAAAUAAAACUUGCUUUCACUAAAAUUAAAAUUAGAAAUAAUAGACGGUUACGUUUUUUUACAUAAAGCCUCUCUCUUGAAAAUCUAAAAGUCCUUUUUUUUUUUCUUUCAUGAACGGCCAACGACGAGUUCUCACUGGUCCAGUUUUCCUUUUAUUUUAUUUUUCUGAAUAAUCCAGGUAUUCUGUCCUUUGACAUAGAUCUUGGUUAUUAUUGCCUAUAUUUUAGGAUGAUUGUUGCAUGUACCUUGGGAUUUUGCUCUUAAAUGGGGUUGUUUUUUACUGUUUCUGAUUUAUCAUUGUCACCGUUAUGGUGAUUUUACUUAAAAAAUUUUGUUAUCUAGAUAGUUAUGCAAAAACAUGUGCAAAUCCUUUUUGAUAGAAUGAAGAAAUUUAAUAGAAGUAAAAAUUCAUAUAUGUAGAAAAUGAAUUUUACUAGUUGAACAUAGGAAAAUAGUACAGUUAGGAAUUUAAAGAAUAGAUUAAAAAUUGUAGGGAAAGAAGUUACAGUUAAAUAGCAGUUACAGUUCUGUCAUUUUUAGACCAUUUAUCAAUAUAUUUUUUGCUUAACUAAAUAAGAAAAUUGGAUUCCCUAAUAAAACAAGAACACUGAUUAGAAUAAUACUUACAGAUGCGUCAAUUCAGGCCAUUUAGCAAUAUAAGAAGGAAUUGUGCCAUUGAUUGAGCAAUUCCUCAGCACCCUGCAUGUAUAGAUCUCCUUGAUGAGCCAUUUGUAUUUUCGAUUGAAUUUUUAAAUAUUUCAUAAAUUUAUAUUCUUAAUUAGUUUAAAAGUAAUCGUUUUACGUAGCUUUUCACAAACCACUAAAUGCUAAAUAUUAUAUGGUUUAAUUUUUUUACUGUGUUACGAAAACAACUUUUGAAGUAGCUUUUAGUGUUUUGAACAGUAAAAAUGAUAUAUAGUGUUCGAUAAUAUAGCAUUUAAACUAAUUAUUAGAGGUUAAUAUAACAUUUUAUAAAAAAUUAACUCAUGUAAAGUGUAACUUUUAGUGUUUUAUGAAAAACUACUCAAACAACUAAAACUAAACUUUACUAAAACAGCCAACAACUAAUUUUGCCGAAUAAAGCCUUUAUAAAAUGUUACAUUAAUUUUUAAAAGCUAAUUCAAACGUUAUGUUACCCAACACUAUACAAAGAUAACCUGUAAAAUCUACUUAAAUAACCGGUCAACAAGAUAAAAUCUACUUAAAAAUUAUUGCCAAAUACAAUCUAAAUAUCCUGUAAUAUUUAAUUAUUUAGUCAUUCACAUUUAGUAUAAUAUUACUAUUUACUCCCACUUAUUUACUACUCCAUCCGUUCAAAAAAGAUAGUACACUUUCUAUUUUCACACACAUUAAGAAGAAAGUAGCAAUUAUUAUGGUUAAAUGAUAAUUUUAUUCUAUAACUUUCCUAUUAUACUCAUCUUAAAUAACACAAUUUAAGAAUUAAUGAUAAGUAAGAACUAAUGAAGGUUAUUGAGAAUAAGAUAAAAUUUAACAAGGGUAUAAUAGAAAAUUUAAGAAUUAAUUGUAAUGCAAAAAUAAAAAGAAGAAAGUGGACUAUCUUUUUGAAACGGAGGCAGUAUUACAUUAUUGUUUAAUUCUUCACUUAAUGAUAAAAAUAACUAUCCUUGAAAAAAAAAAAAAAAAAAAAAAAAAAAAAAGGAAAUUUUGACCAAUCCUUCACCAAUUGCAACAAAAUGCAAAAUUUAAUAAGUUGUUAAUACAUUGGGACAAUAUAUGUAUACAGAAAUACUCACAAAGAACUUAUGUUCGUCAUCAAGUCCGCUUGUUUGGGGAAAGCAAAACCAGGAUUCCUUAAGCCACUAACCCACCUGAAAUCAUUCAACCACUUCUUAAAAAGCUUUAACUAGAAAACGACAGCGCUUCAACUGUUUCUUGAAAUGAAAUUAGAAAAAUAAUUGUCAUUUAACUGCACAUACAAUUUCGUAAGAUCUGGAAGCUUGAAAAUCCCUUCUGGUAGAUUCCCUUCAAAAUUAUUUCCCAGAAGGUUCCUGACAAGUUUGUAAUGGUACAAACAACAUUCUAAUUCUUUAAUUUUUAGUUUUAAUAGUAAAAUUACAAAAAAAAAAAAAAAAACAUAUUAUAUCCUAAAAUUUUAAAGAACUUUUAUUUGUAUCAAAAUAAAUUCUUAAGAAAUCUUACAGAUAACUGAGGUUCUUCCAGUUUGCAAUGUAAUCGUGUAUAGGGCCAGACAAAUAAUUUCCAGCUACCUCACUGCAUUGCAUUGAUCAAUUUGGGAACUUGAAAUAUAUUAGCAAAUUCACAUCAAGAAAUUCCUUAGAAAUACAAAAUUUCUUUUUGAAGUCUGACUUUAAAAAAUAAAAUAAAGAAAGUUAUAAACAAUUAUUUAUGCCAUUUAUUGCAUAAAAAACUAAAUAAUAAUGAUAGGAAUGACUUACAAGGUUUCAAGUCCAGUAAGUUGGGAAUAACUUUGUGGAAUUUUACCAGUAAGAUAAUUGGAAUUCAACCGGCUGCAAUCAUAAAGUUUUAGUUAAAGAGUAACUAUAAUACAUUAAAAAGUAAUUUGUAAAUUCAGUGGAUACUAUCUCUGUUCUAUAAUACUUGUCACAUUUGAAAUUUCACGUCUUUUAAGAAAAUCAUUAAAUUUGUCUAAGUUACAAUAAAUUAUGGAGUAAAUUAACUAUAUUACCCUUAAUUUAAUACUAAUUCUCUAAGAAAACCAUUAAAUUGAAGUAAUAAUUAUUAUUCAUAUACAAAGGAAGGGUAAAUAUGAAAAAAUAUUUAUUACCCUUUGAAACCCAUAAAUAUGAAAAGUAUCAUGAAACUGAGUUAGUAAUCAAUUUGACUAAUUUAAUAAUUAAAAAACCUGUAGCAACUCUGUCGAUUUUAAUGACAUUUAGAAUUAGUUCAUAAGAAGAAAAAUAUACCUUUUCAUAAUAAAAAAAAGACGAAAAAUAAAUAAAAUUAAAUGAAACUUACAAACUUGUAAUAUUGUUCAAUUUUCCAAGUGCUUCAGGAAGUGGACCCGUGAGUUCAUUGUCAUACGCAGACCUGUUUUUUAUUAUUAUUAUUAUUUUUUUUUUUAGUAUACAGCAUAUAGUCUAUAACAUUAAAUAUAAAUUGUUUUUGGGUGAUUAUUUUGUUUCAAAAUAUAAAUUGUUUUGAGUAUUUUUAACGAGUAAUAAAUGAUAAAUUUCCAAUAUUACUCAUAUUUACAUUAUGUACAAUAAUCACCUUUACUCAGUUACUCUUGAUUUGAGAUAAAAGAUAAUUUAAUUAUAAUUUAAAAGAAUUAAUUGUUUUCUUAAUUUUCAUGUAAAAAUUUUAAAUGACUUACAAUGUCUUCAGCGAUUUGAGGUUACCAAAUGAUUCAGGUAUGGAUUGAUUCAGGAAGUUGAACUCCAAAUACCUGUUGCAUGGAGUUUUUCAACAGCAGUUAUAAGCGCAAAUUCAUUUGAUGUACUGAAAUAAUUCUAUAGCAAUAAGGGAAGUACUCACAUUCGAAUCAAAUUUUGCAGAUUGCCCAAUCCAGUCAUUGGACCAUUCAAGAAAUUGCUUGAAAGAUCCCUAAUUGCACAAAACUCAACUUAAUAUAUAUAAUCACACAGUCAAAAUAAAAUUACAGACGUUACGUAAUUGAUUAACUUACAAAUACUCAAGUGAAUUUAAAGCUUGAAAGCUACUGGGAAUAGUACCUUCAAGCUGAUUGUUCUCUAGAUCGCUGAUCAAAUAGAAUCACAAAUGGCAUAUUUGGUUGUUUCAGAAGUAAAGUAAUACUGAACGUAUUUUGUUGAAGACAAUUAAACUAUUCAUGUCAAGAUUAAAGAAUUUGCAAGUUGAUUAUUCUUACAGCUUUGUCAAACUAGUUAAAUUUCCCAUGUUUUGUGGUAGGGAUCCAGUCAACUGAUUGAAGGAAAGAUCCCUGAAUUUUAAUCAAAAAAUAGAGAAUUAGUGUCAUACUGUUUGCUCCUAUAUUUAUAAAAAGAAACUAGAUGGGAGUUUACAGAAUUUGCAAGUGUUGAAGCCCACUUAUUGCAUCAUCCAUAUUUGUUUGUUUCAGUAGUAAAGUAAUAUUGAAUGCAUUUUGUUGAAGACAAUUAAACUAUUCAUGUGAAGAUUAAAGAAUUUACAAGUUGAUUAUACUUACAGCUCUGUCAAACUAGUUAAAUUUCCCGUGCUUUGUGGUAGGGAUCCAGUCAGCUGAUUGGAGGAAAGAUCCCUGAAUUUUAAUCAAACCAUAGAGAAUUAGUGUCAUACUGUUUGCUAUAUUUAUAAAAAGAAACGAGAUGGGAGUUUACAGAAUUUGCAAGUGUUGAAGCCCACUUAUUGCAUCAUCCAUAUAACCACUCAGCGAGCUACUCAUUUUAUUUCUGUCACCAUGAAAUGUGAAAAUAUAAGGUCAUAAUUAAAUAUUUACAAUGAUAUUUCAUUUUAACGAAGACUAUAAUUAUUACUGAAAUAUAGAAGUGUAAAGUCAUGAUUGAAAUCCUCCCAAAGUUCAGGAGGCACAAAGAUAAUUUGCCAACAUUCAAGAUCAAAUUUAUGCAUUACGCCACAUACAUACAUACAUACAUACAUUUCGGUUAUAUGGCAAGUGAAAUAGCCAUCCUUGUCCUUGAAACUGCAAUCACACCUUAUUGCAGCACCAGCCACCAGGUUGCUGCUAUUUUGACAGUGUGAAACAUUGAAGUAUGUGACGCCUAAACCGGUUAAGAAAGUUGUAAGAGCAUCCACUGUCAAAUAUUUCAAAAAAAUUUACAUCAAACCCAGAAAAAGUCAAACAGUGAUUUCAUAUUCUUCAAUUUGAACAGAAAGGAGAAAACAAAAAAACGAUUAGCACUGAUUCUUGAAAGAAAAGAGAGAGUUAAAUGUGGGUAUGGAAGCUUACACUCGUCACAAGGCAGAGCUUGGUUUCUGUCACAAUAUUCCCUUCUAGAUGUUCCACCACUAUAAACUGUAGACAGAAUUAAUGUUAAUCCAAACAAGUAACAAUGAAAUUAGCUAAUUCUUGAAAGAAAAGAAAAGAAAAGAAAAGAGUUUGAAAAUUGUGUUUAUAGAAGUUUACCGCUAUUACAAGUAAGUUUAUAGGGGGGACAUUGACAGGAAGAAUAAGGUCUACCACUUUUACAGUAAGGAUAGUUAUUAACGGCAACUGCUUUCUGGUUUCUAGUAAUAUAAGGUUUAUCAGCUCCAUGAACAAGUUGCCAUUGAAGAAGGAAAGUAAGAAUGGGAAUAAGUAAAGCCCUCCCUGAAAGUUUACUACACAUUCUUUCUUCUUUGGAUGGCUGUUUCUGUUACUCCUAAAUUUAUACAGCCUCAGAGAGUCAAUGGCAAGUCCUCUAUGGUCCCCGUAUAUACUAAAAGAAAGGAACUUUGAUCCUUAUCAAUCAAAAAGAAAGGAACUUUCAUCCUUUUCAACCAAAUAGACUCAGUUAGGAGAAAAAAAAAAAAAGAAAAAAAGGAAACUAAGUCAAGGUCAAGUUUUAUUAUCUUUUAAUUUUUUAAAUCCUUAACUAUAAUUAAACGUAAAAUACAUAAAUUUAUCCUUAAAUUUUGUUACUUUAAUUUUAUAGCAGCUUUUCAACUUUUAUUUUUAUCCGUCAAAUAUAUCAACUUAUAAAAUUAUACAUAUUAAAUACUAAUUAGACUAAUUAAACACCUAUUACAUAACUAAAUAUUAUAAAAAUUAUUAUUCUAAAAAUUAUGUUAACUAUAUAUCAAAUCAAUAUUUUAUAUGUAAAAUAUCAAACUUUAAAAAUUAUUGUUAUUACUAUGAAAAUAUAUGCAAUGUUAUCAAAAUUUCCACAAAUAUGUAAUAGAUCAUCCACAAAGUUCAGAGCGCUCUAAUUGCCAUAAAUCUAGUUUAACAAAUGCAAAAAAAAAAAAAAAAAAAAAAAAAAAAAAAAAAAGAGGAUGUAUAACAAUCUAUUUUUGAAAAGAGAAGACUUGAUAUGUAUAUAUAUAUAUGUGUGCGCUCUGUUAUAAUGCUCUCUCUUUACAUUAUUGUCUUUUUUUAGUCUAAAAUUAAUAUAUAUUUCUCAUUUAUUUCUUCGUACACAUUGACUCUAAGCAUGAUGACACUCUUAAACUCAACUUAGUAAAUUCUCGAAGCAAUAUAUGAAAAUAAUAAAUUAAAUUGUUUUUAAAAAGAAAUAAAUUAUUAUAUUUUAUUAUAUUUAUCACAUUUAAAAUUUUAUAUUCUUUAAAAAAAAUAUUAAAUUUAUUUAAGUUACAAUAAAUUAUUAAGUAAAUUGAUUUUAUUAUCCUUAAUUUUAAUUCUCCAAAAAAACUAUGAAAUUAAAGUAAUAAUUAUUGGUCAUAUAAAAAAGGUAAAUAUGAAAAAAAAAUUUAUUAUUAUUUAAGACUAUAAAUGUGACAAGUAUUUUAAAGGAAACUAUUUUUGCAAAUGUGACGAAUAUUAUGAAACGGAUGUAAUAAUUAUUAAUUUAAUCUAAAGAAUAUAUUAUGAAAUAAAAGUGAAAUAUCAUAAUUUCUAAAUAAUAUAGAGCGAAAAAAUCAAAUAAAGAUACAAAAUUUAUCUUUUACAAUGACUUGAAAAUGGAAAAAAAAAAAAAAAACUUUCAUUUAAAAACGCAAUGAACAAUAGAAAGACAAAUUCAGAACAUAAAAAAAAAAUAUAAAAACUUAAAAUGAUAAGUAAAAUGUGAAUUAAUCAUAUGGAAAGAGUUCUUUUAAGCUUUUAUACAAAAUAAUAAAGAUAGAAAAUUAGUAUUUGAUAGCAUAUAUGCUUUUCAAUGUAAGUUUAAAUUGUAUUAUUUGAAAACUAACUAACAAUAUUAUGUAAUAAUUUUAUUUAUAAUAAUUUAGAAAUAAUAAACAACUAUAUAUUAUUAUACAAAAUUAAUUAAUAUUUUUAUUUAUAUAACAUAUUAAAAUAAAAAAUAAUAUAAUAUAAUGCAUUAUAUAUUAAUAAUUUUGGCUAUAAUUUAGAGAACAAUUUAUUUAUUUUUUCCUUUAAUCUAUUCCCGAGUUAAUAUAAAUGAUGUAUUAGAAAUAUUACUAAUAAAAAGAAAAAAAAAAUAAAGAAACGGAAAGACCAAAGCAUUGUGACUAAAUUAAGGCCACGAUGACACGCAACACAAAACAAAUGAACAAGUCCUUUUCUUUUGAGCAUAGGAGAUAAGAAUCACUUUGAGUCUUUUUCUUUUUCCCCUCCUUUAUUAUAAUAGUAAUCAUGGCAAUUCUUAAAAACAAUUUAUUGUAUGUAAAAUACAAAAUUUAGGCGAUGGUAAAGUAAUGCCAUGUUUGCUCCUAAAGCCAUUAUUUCUUUUCUUGAUAAUUACAAGUAAAAUGAUAAUGAAAUAUUAAUUUGGAAAAAAAAUUUUAGCAAUUAUUUUUGUAAGGUUAAAAUUUUUUAAAAUAAUAUUUAAUAUAAAUUUAUUAUUUAAAUAAUUAUAAAACAAAAAAAUGAUUAAAAAAUAUUAAUUUAAAAAAUAAUUUUACUAUUAAUUUGUUUUGAAAUUUAAUUAAAUCUAAAUAUAAUAUAAAAAUAAUUUUUUAAAAAAGAUGUGAAAUUUUAAUUGUGACAUGUAUUAUAAAUAUAUGUCUUCAAUUAUUCAGGUAAAGUCUCAAUUAUUGUGUAACUUUUCUGUCUCAAAAGCAUAAAUGAUUGAAAAAAGUAAAGUUCCAUUAAUAUCCCACUCUUGUAGAAUUUGACUCCAAGAGUCUCUUUACUAAUUUAUUGAAAGCCUGAAUAGGGUAACGCGACCAUUGAACCCAAACAACCGUUGGUGUUGGGAGAAAAAAAAAAAAAAAAACAAGUUGAAGUAACACAAAUUACAAAACAAGUAUUCUUUUUUAAAACAAUGGUAAUUUGUUUUUUUUCUGUUAAACAAAAAGACAAAAAUAAUUGAUUCGAAUUUGUAAUGUGAUUAUGCUUGAUAUUCAUUCCUAACAAAUAAAGUAACAUGUCUUAAUCUUAUGCUACUAUUAAAUAAUAUUAAUUAUUUUAAUAGUAUUUAUUAUUUUUUUAACAAUUACCUAAACGAAAAAAUGGUGGUAGAGUGAUAGUUAAGGUGAUGGUUGUGGUGGAAUGAUGAUAACCAGUAGAGUUUGAGGUUGAGUUUGAUUAGCAUUCCGUAGAGAUUAUAAUGGAAUGAUAAUUAAAAUAUGGGUAAUAAAAAAAUUCAUCAAAACAUUAUAAUCAAUUAUUAAUGUAAUAUUUAUUUCAUUAUAUAGUUGAUUCCAUUUAGACACGGCCAAAAUUCAGUUUUUGGAACCGGAACUGUCAGUUUGAAACCGGUCCGAACUGGAACCGGAACCGGUAGCCUACGACUUGAUUCCGGUUCCACCAUUCUUAGAACCUUGAAUCGACGGUUCUAAGAACCAGCCAGAACCGGUUGGAACCGCCGGUUUUUCCGGUCGGUUUGAAAUUUCGGUUUGGACCGGUUUGUAGUUGGCUAGUGCAAAGGUCUGAAUAGAAAAAAGGAGAAAGUAAACCUGAAAGGUGUAGUGGCGCAGUUGGCUAUAGCGUAGGUCUCAUUGCGAAAACCGUUGAUUGAUAUCCUGAGUUCUCUCACCCUAUUUCCUUUUUAUUUUUAUAGCUUUUUUUUAUUAUAUAUCCAUAAUGAUGCUCGUUGUAAUUUUAAUUUAUUUGUAAGAAAGAAUUAAAUAAAAUAUUUACGAUAGUUUUUCAUAUUUUGCUUUUUUUUCUAAAAAUUUGAAUAAAUUUAAAAUUGAAAAGAAGAUUGAUGACCAAAAAUUUAAUUAGUAUAAAACUUUCAUCAUUAACAAUUUUCAUUUUAUUAAAUCUACAAUUAUAUUAUAUACCGUUCAAAAUUUUGUAUCACACAUAAUACACUAGAAGCACAAUCAUGUGUGGAUGAUUGGAGUAAGGCCGAAUUAAGAGCACAAGAAAAUACUAAAGAAAAUGAAGAUUCAUAUGAUUUUUACGAUGGGUCCUUAACGAGAAUAUCAACCUGUAGUCGCAAUAGCGACUAAAGUAAAAUGGGUGAAAUUAGUGUAAGGUAAGUAAAAAUUACGUGGGAUUUGAUUCUUCUAAACCCCAAGAGAAUACGUAGACAACUUAAUUUUUUUAAAAUAAAUUAAGUUCAAACCCUUUUUUUUUUUUAAUUAAGUUUCAGCCUUUUUAAACAAUAAAUAAAUUUAGUUGAAGACCUUUUUUUAAAUAAAAUAAAGAUCAAGUUUUUUUUUUUUGAAAAUAUAAAUUAAAUUCAAGCAUUUUUAAAUUUUAAAUUUUGAAGAAAAAUAUUCUCUACUUAUUUAUUUUACAUUUAUGCGAUUCGCUGGAAAAUCGGUCGGAGAACCGGCCGGAACCGUCGAUUUUGGAACCAUUAAGGAACCCGAACCGGAACCGUCAAUUUUCGAUUUAGUUCUGGACCCGUCGGUUUCGGAACCGUGGCCAUGUCUAAUUACAUUGAACCAAAUGCAGCCUUAUAGAAUAUUAGAAUACUGAUAUGGCACGAUGCUAAAAUAUUAUUUUACCUUUUAUUUUAAGAAAACUAUUUCUAUAAUAUAAUUGAUAGAGAGUUUGAAUUAAUAUAAUUAAUGACACUCUUCAAUUUGUCAAUAAUUAAUAAAAUUAAUAAUAUUAUUAAAAAUUUUGAAAACCUUUCACUUUUUUAUUUUUAAAUAAUUUCCUGUUUUUCAUUAAUAUUUCAUAUAAACCGAUAUUCUUUAGUUUUUUUGAUAACUAAUAAAACUAAUAAUUUCAUUAACAUUUCGAAAAUCUUUCUCUUUCUUUUUUUAAAUAAUUAACAAUACUAUUAAUUUUUAUAUCUGCGGAAAUAUUCAUUCUCUUCAUUUUCCUUUUUUUAUUGAUAUGAAAUUCACAUAGAUUUAUCUUUCAAUAUAAAUGAAACUAUAAAGAAACACAGAAUCAUAUAUUCAACAAAAAAAAAAAAAAAAUGGGACUCUCUUUGCACAUAGUAUCAAAAUUAUUUUUCACGGCAUUUUGUUAAUGUGAGCUUGAUCAAUGUAGCAACAACAAUGUAAUUACAAAAUGUAUUUGGUUUCUUAUAAUCAAUUGAUAUGUGAUUUUAUGAUUUAUAUAUCAACCUUUAACUAUUAGCAUGUUAGAUCCACAUAGAAGCAUCUUACAUGUUGUUAUUAUAAUUAAGUGUUUAUCUUUAUCAUUAAUUAUAGUGUGAUUCUGACAUGAUAUCAUUUAACUCAUAGAAUUCAUGUUUUCAAGAUGCUUUUUUUCUAAUUAAAAUUAAAAUUAUAAUUGAUUUUAUAAUGUGAUUUUGUACGAAAUUCUAUUCAAAGCAUUAAGUUUUACAAAAUAUAUAAACAAAAAAAGCAAAAAAAAAAAGAAAAAAAAGGAACACUGAAAACAAAUAAACAACACCAUAUAGAGUGGUGAAUGGAGCAGAGUUCACAUAAGAAAACUCCAUAGUAAAUCACAAAUAUUAAAUUAGACUGGGGAAGGAUCCAUAUCUCUGUUUCUACUGACUUGGAAGCCCCUAGUUUCGAGUAAUGUCCUAAUAUCCUCAACGGUUUUUUUCCUGGUGGUGUCGGGGGGACGUAGGUACAAUUGGCUAAAACUUAUUAAAAUUCUGGUCCCUUUUAUUUAUUGCUUUGUUUUUAUUUAUUUAAUAGCUAUUGUUGGGCAAAAUAUUUUUGGUGGUUAUUAUCUAAUUGAUUACAUAUCUAGGUAAAUUCUAUCAACCAACACGAAUUUAGUCUAAGGAAAGUGGAUUUUAUGUGAAACCACUUGUAACUCCUCCACCUAUCUGAAAAUUUACCUAGUAUAGUUACUGAGUGCAAUAAUUCACAAAUUAUUUUAAUUUGGUGGAAAAAGCCCAAUUUCCACGACACAUUAGACAUAUGUAACUUGUUAAUUUAGUUUUAUGACCUUUCAAUGGUAAAAAAUAAAUUAAUAUUAAAUUAGUGUGAAAAUUUUUCAAUAAUUAGUGUCCUCUUUUAAUAUUAAAUUAAAAAAUCAAGUAAAUUAAUAUAUUGUGUUACCUAUUUUAUACAAGUAAGCACAAUUAUUGAAGUAAAGUCUCAAUAAUUGUUCCAUUAGCACUCCUACAUCACAAAACCCUGAAUCAUUAGGAGACGCAGAAAUCACAAAAGCAGGAUUUGGGGUCACAAAAGCUGAGAAAAAACUAGCAUGUUAUAGCAUACUUUCACAAGGUUUUGAGUUCUGUAUCUGUUUUUAUGGUUCACAGUGAACUCAAUUAAUCCUCAUUCAUCUUUGGAGGCAAAAAAGUUGGCCGGAGGCGCAGAUGACCAAACUCAUGACUUAAGUUAUGGUAAUUAAUUACGCAAGUGUUUUCUGUACUGAUUACUUUCUGUCCAGUUAAAAAAUAAAUUAUAAUUCUUAUCGUGUAAUAUUAUAUUCCCUUCGUUCUAUAUUUUUGUCUCAUUUUUCUUUCCAUCCAUCCCAAUUGUUGUCAUGUUUCUUUUUUUUUAAAAAAAUUAAUAAUAUUUAAAAUUUAUUAUUUUAUUUUAUUUAAUAAAUUUUUUAUCAAUAAAUAUAAUAAUCAAAUUACUACAUUAUCAGUAGUUGGGGACUAACAAGUUACCAGAAUUUCAAAAAUUAUCAAAUAAACGAGUUGUCGAAAUUCGGUCAAGCUCAAGUCUUCUUACCUUUAAUUUUUAAACCCUUAUCAAAUCAUGCCCUACAACAGGACAUAAUCAAGAUAAGUCUUCAAAAUAUUAAUAUAUUAAAGAGAGGGUCUUUCCCUCUUUUUUUUUGCCCUUUCUUUUAAUCUUAAAUUAAUAUUUCUCAUUUGUCUCAUUCUCAUCAUGUGCAUCAUCCAUGACGACAGUAUUAGCUGUAAGCACGAUGAUACACGGAAUUUAAAAAAAUGACCAAUUAUGUGAAUUCACCUGUCAAUUUAAUAAUUUUAAUUUUAUAGUAAUUCUAAAUGUUAUAAAUGACCUGCGGCAUAUUUGAAUUUGUAAAUUUUUAAAUGAAUAUGGUCGGAGAAUUCAUUUGUAAAUGAAUUUGAGGUAAAUUUGUCAUAUUUGAUAUGCUAUAAUUUAAAAUAAGGAAUUUAAUUGAAUUCAACGAAAUUAUAUUUUGAAUAAAUUUUUAAAUAAAAAUUCAUUUGUCUUUAUUUCUUAUAACACUCUUGAUAUGAAAAUUUAAUAAAAAUAAAUAACAAACACCAAUUAUAUUUAUUAUGUACAAUAUAAUAACUAGUAUUUUUUUUAUUAAAAUAUAAAUAAUAAAUUUCAUAUAAAUGAGUACACUAAUAUUUCACUCUAAUUGAUUAAUUAUAUGAGCAGUAACAUUCAUCAUAAUAAUUAUUUUUAAUUGAUGUAAAAAUUUUUAUUGAUUUAAGUAAUUAAUUUGGAAACUAAAAAUAAUUAAGAAUGUUACUAUUGUUUUAAUUGCAUGGAAAACAAUUGUCGAUACACAGUUUUUUAUAUUAUUAGACUUAAAAGAAAAAACACGCCAUUACUAGUUUGGAAUUUUCCAAAAAAAUAAAAAUAAAAAUAUAAACUAACGUCAUUACUGGAUUAAAAAAAAAGACAUUGUUAUAGUUUGAAAUUUUUCAAAGAGAAUAAAUAAAAAGGAAAAAAGAAAGUAAAAAUAGUUGAGAUUAUAGCGGAGGAUAAUUUUGUUAAUAAAAUUUUAAUGGUCAAUUUUGUGAAAUUUAUUUAUAAAUUUCAUCAAUUUUAGUAGAAUUUGAGUUAGACAUUCUCAAUUCCAUAGAAUUCAAUUCGUAAAAUUUAAAUCUGUUUUUUUUUUUUCAUUCUAAAUACAACAUUUUGGAUUUCCAAAUGAAUUUCACAAAAUUUGUGGAAUUCAUUUAUUCCAAAUGGAUUGCACACCUUUCCAUACUAAUAGCAAUAUUUUUUAGGAUUUUUAGUUUUUAUGCAAAAUAUGAAUUUAAUGUGUAGUUAAUAUAACUUUUGAAAUAAUAAUUUUCACAUAUUUAAAUUAUAUAAUAAAUAUUUAAUUGAUCAAAUUUUGCAAAUUGAAAUGUUCAAUAAAAUAAUUUUGUAAAUUUAAAUGUUUAAGAUACAUAAUUUUAUAAGUUAAAGUAAUUAAUAAAUCAAAAUAAAAAUUGAGGGUGCCUAAUUUCAAAGUAAUAAAAUUUAUGAAUGAAUUUUUAUAUUAUUUAUAUUAAUAUUAAUAUUAAUAUAUUUUAUAUUUUAUACAAUUUAAAUAAUUUACAUAAUAUUUAAAUAAUUUAAAUAAUUUUAUACAAUUUAUAUUUUAUACCGGAGUUUUAUUUUAUUUUUUUAAGGGAUCAGAUCCUAUUACCUCGUGAGGUCACAGGAACGGACUAGAAUUUUCUCAGAUUGGACUCAUCUUCGUAUGGAUAUCAAACUUCUUUUAAGUCAGCUUUAGGAUUAUUUUCUAACUUGGAUUAGAAGGCAAAAUAACAAAACCUGCUCAGAGAACUAGACAAACUUGUUCGAUUAAUAAACCUACUCAAAUUGGUCUCUAAAUUAUAUCAAACAACAUAUAAUUAAAUAAUUUUAUUUGCAAAAACUAUAUAUGAAGUGUUUAACUUAUGAGUUAACAUGUUGAUCAUUCUGUUCAAAAUAACAUUAACUAACUAUAAGAUUUUUAAUUUAUGAUUUCCGUUAACAUUUUAAUCUUUCUAUUUUUGGAUUGAAGGACUAAAGCAUUAAUAAAAUCUCGUAAUUCUCGAAAAUAGAAAUCCUAAUAUAUUAACUUGACUAUGACUUUUACUACAGUACAGAAUUCAAAAAUUUUGUAUUGAUACAGAAACUUCAUUUGCAUGCCAUUUGGACAUGCGCUAACUUGCUAGGUAGGUCAUAAGGUUAAAACAUGAUUUUAAUAUAAAUAGUAGGGUACUUGAAAUUAUUUUAAACACAAUAAAUAACAUUUUAAGAUAAUUAUUUUUAUAAAAAUCUCUAAACGAUCUCAAUACAUAUUAAAAAAAUUUAUAAGUAUGGAUUAUAUAAUUCAUAAUUAAUUUUGAUACGAAACUAAGUUUUGAAGUUAUAUUCUUAAAGCAAAUGAUUAUGGCUUUUUUGAAUUUUACAAUAAAAUUUUAAAAAGUAAAAGGUGAAUGUUAUAAAUUCGAUUAUGAUCAUUAUAUUGUAAAUUUAUUUGGGAUAAUGCAAUUAUUAUUGAUGUAUUGGAUUAAUUAUAUUAUUGUUUUGAGCUCUAAUAGAUAAAACACUUGCUUUUAUAUAAAGUCAAGCUUAUAAUGGAUAUAUUCAAAAAAUUAAGUUGAGUUGUUUUUUCGGUAGAUCACAAAUAAAGUUCAAAUUAGACAAUUACAAUUUACAUAAAUUAUAAAAUAAUUUUAGUAAAAAAAGUUAAGUUAUGAUAUAUUAUAACUAAUAAUGUAGGAGUAUAUAAAAAUUAAAUUAUAAAUCAUAUUAUGAUCAGCAACACAACAAACUUAAAAUAUUUUUUUAUUUCAUCUUAGGAGGUAAAUAGUAGCUCAAUAACUUAUUUAAAUUCAAUAAUCCUUUAUUUUAAUUAUUUAUGAAAAGAAUAUUUGAUACUUUUGUUGUUUUUAAACUUCUUGCGUUGACGUCUUUUAGAUUGGUAAAACAAACUUUUAACUAAAAUAAUAAAUAUAAUUAAAUUAUAUAUGAAUAAGGAUACUGGUUUUAUAGGCAGCAGGUUAUUAGAUCUUUUAAAUUUAAUGGUCCACGUUUAGGUAGUUUAAAUCUAAUGAAAUAUAACUAUUUCUUUAUUUAUACAGAAUUUCUCAUUCUGUAUAAUAGACUUACCUAUGAUUUAAAUCAAUUUAUUUUUUUCUCUUUAAACUACUGGUAUUCUCCCAUUAAUGCAAAUUUAGAAAUAUUGCUAAUGAAGAGGAAUAAAUAAGUAAUUUGCUUUUUUAAUGAAGUGCUUUUGAGCGAGUUUUCACUGAUUUAAUAAAUUAAAGAAGUGAAAGAGUUUUUAUUAUGUAGCUCACGAUUUUAUUUUUAACUAUUUUGAUUAAAAAUAACGUAAAAUUAGUUUUAGAAUUACAAAAUUACAAAUUAUGAUUUCAAUUAUACCUUAAUUGAUAAAACUUAUAAUGAAUUGAAAAUAAAUAUUACUUUAAAAUUGAAUCCCGAUGGCCAAUUCCGUUGGUGAUGUUAUAAAUAACUUUAAAAUUAUUAGUCAAAUCCCCCUUAAAUGCAUUCUUAAAAAAUGAAAAAUAAAAAAAAUACAAUCCAUGAAUGGUCAAAUUAUUACUUUUUUUUUUCUGAAUCUAUUACCAGAUUAUAUAAAAUAAAAUAUAUAAAAUAAACAACACUAUAAUGGUCACAAAUUAUAUAAAACAUGUUUUGAAAGGAGUAAGAAUUAUAUAAAAUGAUACUACCAAUCAGGUGGUAGUUUUGUUGGUCUUCUCACUUAUGUGAGGAAUAAAAAAUUUCGAGUUCAGAGUCCUCUAAAUCAUAGUUGCACUUUUAUCUUUUCUUAAUAACAAAUCUAAUUUCUCUUUUGCCGAUAACAAAAAAAAAAGUACUCACAAAGACUCUAAGUGUGUUAAGUUUGCUUGCUGCGGGAAAGUAAUACUAGGAUUCCUCAGUCCAGUAACCGAUCUGAAUCAAAAAAUCUCGUCUUAGAAAGCUUUAGCCAGCUUAUUUUGACCUAGUGGCCUCCCUAUGAAUAAAAAACAAAAGAAAGAAAGAAAGAAAGCAUUAACCAGAAAACGCCAAAGCUUCAAUUGUUUCUUCCAAAUGAAAUUAUGAAAAGAAGUAGGUAUUCAGUUACUGCACGUACGAUGUAAGAAGCUUUGGAAGUUUAAAAAUCCCUCCUGAUAGAUUCCCUUCAAAAUUAUUUCCCAUAAGUUCCCUGACAAUUUUAUAAUAGUACAAACAAUAUCAGAUCAAGAUAAUUUUUUUUUUCAUUUUAAAUAAUAAUAUUCAACAUUCUGAAUCUUUAUUUAUUUACAUUUAUUUAUAUCAAAAAUAAAUUCUUAGAAAUACUUGCAGAAAAGUGAGGUUCUCCCAAUUUGGGAUGUAAUCCGGUAUAAAACCAGACAAAUUGUUUCCAGAUAGUUCACUGCAUUGCAUUGAAUCACAGUUUUGGAAAUUAAAAUAUUUUUACAAUAUUUGACAUCAAAAGACCCCUUCUAAAAAAAAUGAGAAUAAUAAUAAAAUAAACAACUUUAUUUUUCAACUUUGCUUUAAAAAUAAAUAAUGUUUAAGGAUGACUUACAAAUUUUCGAGUCGUUUAAGUUGAGAAUAAUUAUGUGGAAUGUUUCCAGAAAGAUAGUUGGAUCCCAACGAGUUAUAACCAUAAAAUUUCAGAAGUUGGCAAUAUAAGCAAUAUAAUUUAAAUUUGACUAAUUUAGUAUUUAAUUCUAUAUUUUAAUAGAUAAAUAAUAAAGACAUGCUUACUAAUAACAGGACUUAUUGCGUUUUUAUUAUUCUCUCCUAUUUACUUUUACUUAUUGGUUUGUAACUUUAAAUGUAUUUAGUUUGAUUUUUAUAUUUAUUUUCUAAUUAGGUUUAGAUUAGUAAUUUUAUUCCUAAUUAAUUUAAAUUUUCUACUCUAUAAAUACUCCUUUAUCCAACAUUCUAAAUAAAGUCUUUCAAUUAGAAUAUUAGAAUUUUCUCUUCCAUAAAGUUAUGUUUGUUUUAUUUAUCACUUAAAUAAAACUUAAAAUUUUACCAGAUUGCCCAAUUUUCCAAGACCUGAAGGAAGUGGACCGUUGAGUUCAUUUUCAUCCAAAAACCUGUUUUUUUUUUUUUUUUUUUUUAUUUUUUUUUUUUUUUUUCCAGUGAGUUAGAAAUAACAAAUAAAUAAAAAAAAGCUUCAUACAAAGACCAAAGUUGAGUGAGGUUUCCAGUUAGUCAGGAAUUGGGCCUGAUAACAUGUUAUCGUCAAGAAUCCUGCAAAGCCGCAAUGUAUAUAUAUAUAAAAUUACAAUUAUAUUGCGCCGGAAAGAAAAGAAAAGAAAGGAAAAGAAAGGAAAGGGCCUUACAGGCACUGUAGCAAUGAGAGUUACCAAAUGAUGCCGGUCUUUGCUGAUUGAAGAAGUUGAAGCUCAGAUCGCUAUUGCAGGGAGUUUUUAAACAGCAAUUAAAAGGUAAAUCAAAUAUGCCAUCCCAAAUGACUUUUAAAGUUCAAAUUUUAAAGACUUAUGGCUCAAUAAAAUUAGAGGUGUCAAAAUGGAUUCGUGUCUAGUUUGACACGAAUCCGUCUACACGUAACACGAUUAAAAUCAAUACGAAUACAACCCAUUUAAUAAUCGUAUCAAAUAUUUAAAUACAAACACGAUCUGUUUAUGACAUGAAUCCAUUUAAACUCAAUACUAACUCAUUUAAUUUUCAGUAAAUCGUGUUCUCAUAUCAUGACCCAUUUUGACACCCUGAAUAAAACAUGAGUUGAAUAAGUACUUACAUUGCAUUCAAAUUUUGUAAAUUGCCCAAGCUAGUGAUUGGACGAUCCAAUUAAUUGUUUGAAAGACGCCUAAUUUUGCACAAUUCUCAACUCAAUAUAAUUAAACCGUAAAAUGUACAAUUGAAGAUAGAGUGAUAUAUAGGCUAACUUACAAUUCUUGGAGCAACUUUAAAUGCUGGAAGCUACUAGGAAUAGUACCAUCAAGCUGGUUGUUGCUCAAAUCUCUGAUUAGGUACAAUCACAAAUCACAAUUUUAUUUGUUUUGUAGUCAGGUAAUACCAUUUAUUAUAAAUAUAAAAUAUAUAUAUGUCCUAGUUAAAUUUAUAAAUCUGCAAUACUUACAGCUUUUUGAGACUAGUUAAAUUUCCCAGGCUUUUCGGUAGGGUUCCGGUCAAUUGAUGGCUAGAAAGAUCACUGAAUUUUAACCGAACAAAAUAUAUAUUAGAGAACCAUUGGCAUACUUAUUGAAGCCUAAUUAUUGUGUCAUCAAUAGGACCACUUAGUGUACUCUUUAUAUUUCUGUCACCCAAAAUGCAUAGAUUUAACAUUAAUUACUUAAGCCCCUUGUAUGAGAACACCUAUAUAUCAAAUCAAUUAUCAAUGGUAUUUUGGCUCAGACGAGUAUUUCUGAUAACACGCAGGAAGGAGUUCUAUGGACACUAUAGGGCCAAAGGCCUAUAUUACGCAUUUCUCCAUAGGAAAGGUUUCGGUCUAGAUAGUUUUGCGUUGCCUGGAAUGCCCAAAGACCUUGACCUGAAACUCAGAUGUACGAUACCCUUAUGUAUAUAGCAAGAUGAGUGAUAAGUGUAAUUUUAUAGUUGUUUCAAUGUAAUUUUUAUUAAAGUUUUUAGUAUUUUUAAUUACUUUAUUUAGUUUUUAUCUUAAUUUUAUUUAUGUUUUCAUAUAAAAGCUUCAUUGAAUCAUAAUUCACUUGAUCUUAAGGAAUUUGUAGGGUUUGCACAGAAAAGAACAAAAUGAAGUAAAAAUAUUUUAGCAUGCCCAGCCCAUGCCAAUUAGCAUGACUGUGCUAAAACCAAGGAAAAUCAAGCAAAGAGUCAGACCUUGGCACGCCCCAGACUGUGCAUCCAAGCACGCCCGUGCUACAUACCAAGUGCUGAUUUAAGUCAAAAUUUCCAACCAUUCCUUAUCAUUUUCAUGAGCUCACCUUGGAUAUUUUCUUGACAUGCAAAUCAAGUUCUAAUCUAUGCACAUGGAAGAGACAAGAUUGAGAGAAAUUUAAGGCCUAAUGAGAACUUUAUUCCUGAUAAGUGCAUUAUCAAGUGCUUUUAUUGUCUAUAUUCGUAUGCAUUUUUGGGUUAUUUAUGUGCUUAAUUCACUUUGUUAGACAAUUUUUACCAAUUAGACAUUAUUUUAGUUGCAUUUGGAGUAAUAUGAUUAAAUUGGUAAAAUUCCAGCAUUUUUUUAUCUUGACCCUUGUUCGGUUUUUCAGGGAUAUCUGGAGUUGUAGACCUUCAAAUUGGAUUCCGUUUCAUGCGUUGGAAAGAUGAAAUAAAGUUCUACAAUUGUCAAAGAGGAAUCAGAAGCUAAUUCAGUCUCAAUAUUGAUCAAAUUCAGCUCUGAAUUUUGAAGCUAUGUGCUGUAUAACUGAGCACAACCUGUUCUGUUGUGGACUUCAUAUCUGGAGUUCCAAGUGUCCAAACUAACUCAGCCCAGGCCCAUUGAAUUCUUAGAAGACAGCCCUACAGUUGNNNNNNNNNNNNNNNNNNNNNNNNNNNNNNNNNNNNNNNNNNNNNNNNNNNNNNNNNNNNNNNNNNNNNNNNNNNNNNNNNNNNNNNNNNNNNNNNNNNNNNNNNNNNNNNNNNNNNNNNNNNNNNNNNNNNNNNNNNNNNNNNNNNNNNNNNNNNNNNNNNNNNNNNNNNNNNNNNNNGAAGGAGUCAGAGCCAGAUUUGGAACAGAAGAUGCUGAAAAACAGGAGAGAAAUCAGAACAUCAAAUAUUUUCUGUUUACUGCUUUUGAAUUUCCCAAUUGAUUAGGGAUUCUUUUUCCUUUUGGAGGUGUUACAGCAGCUAGGAGGCACNNNNNNNNNNNNNNNNNNNNNNNNNNNNNNNNNNNNNNNNNNNNNNNNNNNNNNNNNNNNNNNNNNNNNNNNNNNNNNNNNNNNNNNNNNNNNNNNNNNNNNNNNNNNNNNNNNNNNNNNNNNNNNNNNNNNNNNNNNNNNNNNNNNNNNNNNNNNNNNNNNNNNNNNNNNNNNNNNNNNNNNNNUAGUUUCUUCUUGAAUAUCUGUUGUUUCUUGUUCUUAUUGAGUUGAUUCUAUUGAAUUCUUUGCUAAAAAGGCCUAUUAGUGAAUUGUUUGGUAGGAUUAAGUGCUAUUUCAAAUUUCAUAAUCCGUAAUUGUUACGAAAGUUUGAAUGUUAGUAGCAAUUAGGUAUUACUAAUUAUAUUUCAGGUUUUCAGUAAUAAUCUAUAGAGACAAUAGGAUUGAAUUAAAUGGUUUAUGUUUUAUAAAUUAUUGUUCAAGUUUAACUACUUCCUGAUUCUUAAUGCUUUUAUUAAAUUNNNNNNNNNNNNNNNNNNNNNNNNNNNNNNNNNNNNNNNNNNNNNNNNNNNNNNNNNNNNNNNNNNNNNNNNNNNNNNNNNNNNNNNNNNNNNNNNNNNNNNNNNNNNNNNNNNNNNNNNNNNNNNNNNNNNNNNNNNNNNNNNNNNNNNNNNNNNNNNNNNNNNNNNNNNNNUGCAUUGGAUUAGAAAUCAUUUGAAUUGGUUUUUUCAUCAAUUUGCAUUACUACUUUAGUUUAAUUAAUUAAUUUUCUUUUUGAACUGUUAAGUUGAAUUUUUCACAAACAAACCCCCCUUUUAACACAAAAAUUAAGAUUUCAGUCUCUAAGGUUCGACCUGAAUUCACCACUUCUACAGUUAAAUUCAGUAAUUUAAAUUUGGUGGAACCGACAAACAUCAAUUCCCUAAACAAGGUGGAAUUUAUUCCCUAAACAAUGUAGAAUUUCUCUCCCAAGAAGUUUAUAUAAAGAUAGGAAGGAUCCCAAUUCAUCCCAUCAUCUCAUCUUCCAUCUCAUAUAUCUCUCAUUCUUUUAGUCUUGUACAUAGUUUUAUUUUCUUUAGAAGUUAAGUGUUCAAGAGUUGUGUAAAGUUUCAAGGAAGCCAUCUAAACAAUUUAUCACUAGUUCUUAUUUCUAAACUCUUAAUCUUGUUUAUUUCUUUCAUUAUUCUUAUUGAUUAUGGAAUAUUUAUCAAGUAUUAUUGAGUUUUAUUUAAGUACCAUGUGUAACUAAAUUCUUAUACUAGGGGUUUGAUGUAGCUUAAUCUUUUUUUCCAAUUUAUGCGAUUAGAUUUAUUUUUCCUUAUUCAAGUUAUGAUUUAUUNNNNNNNNNNNNNNNNNNNNNNNNNNNNNNNNNNNNNNNNNNNNNNNNNNNNNNNNNNNNNNNNNNNNNNNNNNNNNNNNNNNNNNNNNNNNNNNNNNNNNNNNNNNNNNNNNNNNNNNNNNNNNNNNNNNNNNNNNNNNNNNNNNNGGGGGUUUUUAUGAUUUAUCAACCUUAAAUUGUAAAUCCAUAAACAACUACAUAACUUAAUGAUUUAAUUCAUAUUUGAUUGCGCUAUUGGAAGAUAGGUAAUUAAAUGGAAUUAAAAUAGCUAGCAAUACAUCGGAAGAACUUGUUAGUGAAUUCAGAGUUGUUUCCCCUACUUGAAUAAUUAAAUUGAUUAAUGAACUAAUGAAAUAAAUUGGAAAGAAUUAAGUGAAAUCAAAACCCCUAAUAGUUUCAAUUCCUUGAUUUCUUUUAAUCAAUUUUUGUUUACUUGACUCUUGUUUAUUUUACAUUUAUAAAACAAUUCUCUCAAUUGUCGUCUAAAUAAUAAUGAGAUAACAUAAUUUUGGUACUUGGAUUACAAUCCUCGUAGGAACGAUAUCUUACUCAUCAUAUAUUACUUAUAGCGAUUCGUACACUUGCGAAAUAAGCUGUCAAUGAGCCUUUAUAAUCAGAUGAUAUGCUAAGACUUUCGAAGGAUGCAUGGCUGGCCUAGAUUACAAGUGGAGUCUAGGCACCACGCAGCUGUCAAAAGCUACGAAACCCUAGACCCCAUGACAUUUGAGAAAAAAAUAAUAAAACAAUAAAUUUUUUUUAAAAGCCUUUUUUUUAUCGGUUUGGUAUUUAGGGGCCAAGCUAGACCCAAAAUUAAAGGGUUCAAAGAAAAAUUUUCAAAAUUAAAAGGUGCCAAAAUCAAAGAAAAAAUCUUUUUGGACUAUUUUAUAGAGAAAAUUUAAAAGAAAAAAAAAAAAAAAAAAAGGAGUUUGGGGGGCCAGGCUCCCCUCAGUCCUCUCCCUCCGCCUCUGUUUGUAUAUAGAACCAGCCAGACACAGGAUGUAGACAAGUCUAUAAUUGACAAUAUAUAUCAGAAUUUGGAGAUACAUACAUUUCAGUUAUGUGGCAAGUGAUGUUGCUCUUGUUAUCCUUGAAAAUACAAUCACAUCUUAUUUCAGCACCAGGCUCCAGAUUGCUGCUGUUUUGACAGUGUAAAGCAUCGAAGUGAGAUGCUGAAGGAAACCUGUUUAUGAAAGUUCUAAUGGCAUCCACAGUCAAGAAAAAGAAAAAUCUGGUUAAGCCAAGCAUUACAUCAAACUAAACGGAACUUAAUUAAUCCAAAUACAGAAUAAUGAAAUGGUUUGCUAGCUAGGAGUAGAAUAUUAUAUGCAUGCAAGUUGGGUUUCGAUUCCUGAAAGAAAAGAAAAAGUUAAAUGGAUUGAGAAUUGCGCUUUUAGUUACAGAAGUUUACACUCAUAGCAAGGCAGAGUUUGAUUUCCGUCACAUCCUAUUUCAGAUUUUCCUGUAGAAAGCACACCAUAAAAACAAAUUACUACAGAUGGGAGUUAAAAGAAAAUAGAAAUGGUUAUUUAGCUAGUAGGAGCUAAUUCUUGAAAAAAAAAAUUGAAACUUGAAAAUUGUGCUCAUAGAAGUUUACCCAUUUUACAAUUAGGAUUAUACAUGGGACAUUGACAAUUAGAGCUAUAUCGGUCAGGACUACAUACAAGAGAAUCUCCAUAAACAAGUUUCCGAUGGAGAAGGAAAGUAAGGAUGGGGAUAAGUAUAGCCAUAACUCAUGUUAGAGAUAUGGAUGCUUAGAAAACUUUCCACGUCUUAGGAAUGGAAAAUAAAAAAAUGAAAGCACCAAUUAACGCAAUUCUAUUUGAACUUAAAUAUUAAUAUUAAUAAUUUAUUAAAGAUAAUUUUCAAACAUGUUGAUUUGGUGUAGGCAUUAAUUGUCACGUUUUCGUUGGAAAAGAAGAGUGGUUGAGUUUUUGCCCAUUGCCAGGUUGUCCAUAUGGCGGUGGGACCAAUUGAAGCAACUGCUGAUGAAAAAUAAAUUUUAUUCUGACUUUUAUUUUUAUUUAAUUUGGUCUUAAGUAAAAUCCAUAAACUAAAUUUGGUCUUAACUAAAUAUAGCCCAUUGGAUUAAAACUGGUUGGCCCACUAAAGAGUAAAAUGCUAAUUUCAUUCGUAAUAAUAUAAAGUUUAUAAAUCUUUCAUAUAGUUAGCAAUUACAUAAAUAAAUAAGGUUCAUCGUGUCGACCUUAUCUCUAUUUUUUUUUCUAGUUUUAUGUGAUUCUUGAAAUUAUGACAUUUUAGUAUAAUUGUAUUAUCUACUCCAUCCCUUAAACGGUGAAAAUAAUACUUUUUGAUGAAAGGUUUAAAUGGAUAAAAGUAUUAAUAGAUUUAAAAAUUAGAGAAUGAUUCAAUUAUUUACUCAAAAUAUAGAGAUGAAGUGGUAAUUGGAGUCAUGUGUUUAGAAUUAAAUAGUUUUUACCCAUAAUUUUGACAAGGGCUAAGUUUCUCCAACAACCUAGGUAGGUGCAAUAAAUUUCAUUUCAAUUUUUUUUCUUGAUACGUGGGAGGCUUAAUGGACGGAAACAUUGUGAGCUAUACGGUAAGAGAUAUCUCUCUCUUUUGAAUAACAUUCAUUAAAUUGGUGAUAACUUUUAUGGUAGAGAGGACUCAAACUCGAAAUAUUUCACUCUCUACAUCUUUUACGAGAGGUAGGACGACCAAUCAAACUACACCUGAUUGGUUGUUAUUUAUUUAUUUAUUUAAUUUAAAGCAUCAUAUAUAUUAUAAUUAAUUCAAAGGUAAAAGAAAAAAAAAAGAGUUGUUGCUUUUUUUUUUUUUUUUUUUUUUUUGCAAAAUAAUCAAUUGCAUAAGAUACCUAUACUCCACAACCAAAUUAGGCCAAAGUCACGAGACAAAUAGUGGGUAGGUAGCAUACUUAAAUUGACAUUAUUAAUAUUAAAGAUACUUAAAUUAUCUUUAAUAUUAAUAAUUUAUUAAAGAUAAUUUUCAAACAUGUUGAGUUAUUAGUAUAACUCAUUCAAUGACUAAUGUAAUCAGGAGAGUGAUUGGUAUGUGAAUAUUAGUGCUGGAAAAAGUAACGAAAAGAAAAGGUUGAUAAAUAAUUAAUUAGGUGUUUCUUUACAUUUUAUUUUAGUUGUUGUUGCAUUAGUUAGAAUAAUAUUUUAGUAAAUUAGUUAGAGAGCGCACGAUUCACUGCAUAAAAAAAAUUAGGAGUUUUAUUAAGAAAUUUCUCAUGUAAGCAUAAAAAAAAACAAAGCAUUUAAUUUUAAAUAUAAAAUAAAUAAAAGUGUGACUCAUCUAAGGCUUUUAUUAUAUAUAUAUAUAUAUAUAUAUAUAUAUAUAUAUAUAUACACACUAGUCUUUUUUAUGAUGUGCGUUGCGCGUUUACAAUACUCGUUAUAUUUUUAUUUUUUAUACUCUUUUAAUUUUUUAUCUAUAUAAUAUUAAAAGGAUAAAUUUUUGUUUAGAUUGAAGUAAAUACAAUUGGUUAAUUUGUAUUAGAUUUUGUCGUAUAAACUAUUUAAAAUGUUAUUUUUUUAUGUAGUUGAUUCUAUUUUAUAUAAUGAAAUGAUCUCAAAGUUCAAUCCAUUUCUAGGAAUGGCAAAAUCAGCCCAACCCGAUGGGUAUGCACUCGACCCAAAUCCAGUCAAACCCAAUUUUUAGAGUUUUGAUUGGAUUUGGGUAAAACCCGAAAGUUUCGUUUUGAGUACGGGUAGGGUAUGAGUAUUGUUAUUAUAAACCCAAAUCUGAUCCCGAAAUCGACCUGAACUUUUGGGUUGAGUAAUAUCCGAACCCGAUACCCAAACCCUGAGAAGUUUGAAAUUAAUUAUUUUCUCUAAAUUGUGGUAUGAAAUAUUUAAUAAAGUAAAAUAAUUAUAAUUUGAAUAAUUUUGAGUUAAUUUGAAUAAUUUAAAUUAAUUUCAAUAAUUUGAAUAAUGCGGAUAAUUUAAAUUAAUUUGAAUAAUUUAAAUUUAUUUAAACAAUUUGAAUUUUUCAAAAUUUUAAAUUUUAGAAUUUUAAAAUUUGAAGCUCAAUAUUUAAUAUUUCAUUUAAAUAAAUAUCUUAUUUUUAAUUUUAUAUUUUAGUCUAUAUAUUAUUUAUUGUAGAUUGAAAUUACUAUUAGUUAGAAGAAAACAAGAAAGACUCUAACUAAGAAGAAUUUUUCAAUUUCUCAAAAAAACAAAAACAUUUUAUCAAAAGCUUCAACACGAGUAAUAGUUACAAUAAAGAAUUUAUUUAUCAAAUAUUUCAAAGCAAGCGGUGUCAAGUCAUGCUUAUCUUCGUUAAUUUAUCAGUUGAAGAGUCUACUACUAUUACCCUUCAGUGACAUAUUAUGAUAAGAAGAGCAAGCAUUAUGAUAAGAAGAGUAAUUUUGUAAUUAAAAUUGUAAUUUAUCAUUUUUUGAAUAUUUAUUUAUGUAUUAAUUGAUUUUCAUAUUUUUAAUAGAAUGAUACUUUUAUUUUUUUUUAAUUCUUUUAUUUAUUGAUUCAAUAUAAUCUAAUUUUUUAAACAAUUUGAAUAUAUGAAUAAAUAGGUAUUUGCGGGUAACAGAUACCCACGAGUACCCAUAGAUAAUGGGUACCAUUGGAUAUUGGAAACGCCAAUCCCUGGCAAUGGCGCCAAAAAAAAAAAAAUUUAUAAUCAGUUCGACCAAAUCUUUUUUACAUAAACAUCUGAAAUAAUCUAAUAAAAAUAAGUAAAAAUAAGAAUGAAUGUCUAAAUUAAUAAUAGGGUAAUUAAUAUUGAUAUUGGUAACGUCAAUCCCCGGCAACGGCGCCAAAAACUUGACAGUGAUUUUCACAAGUGUACGAAAUCGCAAUAAGUAAUAUAGAAUGAGAUGAGUAUCAUUUCCACAGAGAUUGUUUACCAAGUGCCAAAGUUAUGUUAACCUACUAUUAUUUCAACAGCAAUAAGUGGAAUUGUUUUUAAGAAUUAACUUCAACAAAUAAAAGAGAAUAAAAAGAACUCAAGUAAGACAAUUUUUGAUUAAAAGAAAUCAAGAAUUAAAAGCUACUAGGGAUUUUGACUUUACUUAAUUCUAUCCAAUUUAUUUAAUUAGUUUGAUAAUCAAUUUUAAUUAUUCAAGUAGGGGAAACAACCCUAAAAUUACUAACAAGCUCUCCCGAUGUAUUGUUAGCUAUUUUAACCCGAUCUAAUUACAUAUCUUCCAAUAGCGCAAUCAAACAUGAAUUAAAUCAUUAAGGUUUAUGGUUUAUUUUGUGAAUUUAUAACCUAAGGUCAUUAACUUAUGAAAACCCCCAAGAGUCAAACCAUAUAGCUUCCGCAUUAAGUUAUUAUUUCCAUAUAAUUUACUACCUUUUUUAUAUCAAAAACCCUUCUCCAGAUAGUGAUUAAUGAAAUAAAUCAAUUCAGGUGAGAAACUCUGUCCGGAAGCAUUAAGUUCAAUAAUAAAUUAUACUUCGAACAAAGAUAAGCAAAUCAAAUAUUAUAAAUUGGAAUCGAAAUUAAGCUACAUCAAAUCCCUAGUAUGAGAGUUUAGCUCGACAUAGUAAUUAAAUAAAACUCAAUUAAACUUGAUAAUAAUUCCAUAAUCAAUAUGAAUAAUGAAAGAUAAAAACAAGAUUAAGAGUUUAGAGAUAAAAACUAGUUAACAAAUAAUUCUGGACGGCUUCCUUGAAUCUUCGCACAAAUCUUCAACAUUCGAAGUCUUGAAGAGAGGGAGAAAAACAAUAGAACAAAAGAAUCAGAGAUCCAGUGAUCCUUUACAAUGAAUGAGUUCUCUCUUUAUAUAGACUUCCUAGGAGAAAAUCCGACUUCGUUUAGGAAAUAAAGUCUUCAUUAAGUAAGAAAUCUUUUGGAAAUAGGAAACUGUUUAGGCUUUGAAUUUCUUCUCAACUAGGACUCUCUCAUGCGCCUAAAUAGGAUUAGAAAUUGAUUUGCAUGUCUAGAGGAGAAUCUGUGGCACAGGUGUACCAAAUAGCACGGCUAGGGCGUGCUAGGCUCAGAGUCUCCAUGAUGGAUGCAGCACGGGCCGUGCUCAAGCAAGCACGGCUUUGGAAUGACGUCCUCUUGCGGCACGGGCGUGCCAGAUAGCAUGGCUGGGGCGUGCUAGGGCCUGAGUCUCCACUUGAUUUUCCUUGAAUCCAGCAUGUGUGUGCUGAUGUGCACAGGCAGGGCGUGCUAUAGCUUGAGUAUUUUGCUUUAUUUUGUUCUUUUCUGUGUUAAAAUUCUACAAAUUUCUUUAAGAUCAAGUGAAUUAUGAUUCAAGGAAGCUUUGAAUAAAAACAUAAAUAAAACUAAAUAAAAACUACUAAAAAUUCUAAUAAAAAUUAUAUUAAAAAUACUAUAAAAAUGACACUUAUCAAUAAAUUUCUUAAUUUUAUUAGAAAAAAGAAAACCGGAAAAAUUUUAAUUAAUUCAAGAAUCUAACCCAAGCUAGUAGGCUUCCCCAAUAUACUCAAGCUAAGACCUUACCCUAUCUAAAAAUCUAUUGUCAAACACCGCCUAUGUGUCAUCGUUCAAGUAUGUUCACCUUAUAAGAGAACUAAUUAAAUAAAUAAAAAAAAUAAGUAUGCAUUUAUUACCUUUUCCAAAAGAUAAAUAACUAUUGUCAGGAUCUCUAAGGUUUUUAUCAAUCUUUUUCCCACUAAUGAUUUCAAGUAGUAGAAGCCCAAAGCAUCAUAACUUAGUUGCAAAGACGCCUUUACUGUGGCCUCCCCUUGAGUUAAUAAUUUCUGGAACUCAUCAUAAACUUUUUCCCACUCAUUAAGCUGCCGUUUUGAUUUCAAUAAGGCUGCUAUGGGUUUGAUUGCUAGAGGACGUCCUCCGCAUUUCUUCACUAUCUUUUUUCCAACUUCUAUGAUAUUCUCAUCUUUACAGAUAUCGUCAUGGGGAGAAAAUGCAACCUUGUGAAACAAUAACCAGAUUUUUUCAUCUUCUAAAGCUUUUGGAUAAUGGAUUCGAGACCUGUUUACUCGCAUACCGAUUGCAACUUCUUCUAUUCUAGUUGUGAUAAUGAUGCAGGUAUUUUGAUCUCAUUUUUUUCUCAAGACUAGAGCAUAAGUCCUGCCAAUGAGAUAGAUUGAAAACAUUCCAUAUAUCGUCCAAAAUGACAAGGCAGAAACUUUCAUGAUCAUCACCUCCUUGUGUCUCCUCCUGCUGCUGUUUUUUCAGUUCUUCCAAUAUGCUCUUUAUAAUGCUUUCUUCAUUGCAAUCUUGAGAAACAGUCAGCCAGAUUUUGUUUUGCUUAAAUGUAUCAAUUACUUCCUUGUCAUUGUAAAUUUCCCAAACAAGAGUAGUUUUGCCUGAACCUCCCAACCCGACAAUGCCAACAAAUUGCAGUGGUGGCCUAUUCUCGCAGAGAAUCCAUUUCUUGAGCUUUCUUAUGUCUUCUUCCAAUCCUGUUGGAUAUCAGCUCUGAUACCACUUGUUGGGAUUAAUGCUCUGAUACCACUUAUUGGAUAUCAGCUCUGAUACCAUUUGUUGGAUAUAAGUGUAGUGAUAAACUCUAAGAUUGAUUAAUAAUUUAUAACACCAAGAAUAAUAACGGGGAAGGCAACCAAAAUAAUACUAACACAAAACACCAAAUAUAAUUGUAUUAAUAAGAAGCAAACAUUCACAAAGCUUAAGGAAAGGAUUACUUACUUGGUUUUCACCUCCUCAAUGUACGACUAAGAUUUGUCUACAAAAUGGACGGUUUAUAUUACAUGGAGAAUUCUAGAACUAUGUUGACAUUAUACAAAAUAUCUUUUGGGUGGAGUAAUAUGGAGUAUUCUAGAAUGUGGGCUUGGACCUCUAACUUUGGGCUUAAGGCUUCCCAAGUCUUGGCUUAUUAUAGCAGCCCAUUUUGAUGGUGACUAAAUUAAUCGGUGAUAUUUUAAUACUCUCCCUUAACGAUUAAUUUCUCUUUCUUCAUCAUUCCCAACUGUUGGCGAAAAUCUUCAUAUUUAUUUGCGUUUAAACUCUUUGUAAAGAUAUCGACUGGUUGAUCCUCCGUCUUGAUAUAUUUCAUUUCAAUCUCUCCUUGUAUAACCUUCUCUCUAAUAAAGUGAUAGUGAAACUCCACGUGUUUUGUUCUCGCAUGAAACACCGGAUUCUCAGCCAUUUGUAUAGCCGAAUGAUUAUCACAAUUCAACGGAAUCGGAUAGUCGAUGGGUUGAUGCAGAUCGUUCAUAAGCUGCGACAACCAAACACUUUCCUGAGCUGCUGUUGCUGCUGCCCGAUACUCAGCUUCUAUUGUGGAAAGUGACACUGUAGGUUGUCUCUUGCUGCACCAAGAGAUUACUCCUGAACCAAGACUAAAUGCAUAGCCUGUUGUCGAGCGCCGAGUGUCGUGAUCUCCUACAUAAUCAGCAUCGCAGUAUCCUUCCAACUUGAUAAUUUCGCCUCUCUUGUAAAAGAUCCCAUGAUCGAUUGUACUUUUGACAUAUCUCAAUAUUCUUCGAACUGCUUCCAAAUGAGGUUUCUUAGGCUUCUGCAUAAAUCGGCUGACUACUCCAACUGCAAAGGAAAUGUCUGGCCGNNNNNNNNNNNNNNNNNNNNNNNNNNNNNNNNNNNNNNNNNNNNNNNNNNNNNNNNNNNNNNNNNNNNNNNNNNNNNNNNNNNNNNNNNNNNNNNNNNNNNNNNNNNNNNNNNUUCACUCCAUCAUUCCAAACCUCUUCAGUAGAUCUCUUGCAUACUUCUGUUGUCCAAGGAACAAACCUUCCUUGGCUUCUUCUAUCUCCAGUCCAAGAAAAUGCUUGAGCUUUCCUAGCUCUUUCAUUUUGAAACGAGUAGCCAAAUUCUCUCGGAUGAGUUGAAUCUCUUCACUGUUGUCGCCAGUGACUAUUAUAUCAUCAACGUAUACUAGCACUAUAGCUAGUCUUCCUUCAUGAUCUUUCACAAACAAACUGGAGUCUGCUUGUGUCAUAACAUAUCCAUUCUUGAUAAGGAAUUCUGCAAUUUUGCCAUACCAAGCCCUCGGUGCUUGUUUUAGACCAUAAAGAGCUUUCCUUAGCUUGCACACAUAGUUAGGAUUCUCACGACUUCUNNNNNNNNNNNNNNNNNNNNNNNNNNNNNNNNNNNNNNNNNNNNNNNNNNNNNNNNNNNNNNNNNNNNNNNNNNNNNNNNNNNNNNNNNNNNNNNNNNNNNNNNNNNNNNNNNNNNNNNNNNNNNNNNNNNNNNNNNNNNNNNNNNNNNNNNNNNNNNNNNNNNNNNNNNNNNNNNNNNNNNNNNNNNNNNNNNNNNNNNNNNNNNNNNNNNNNNNNNNNNNNNNNNNNNNNNNNNNNNNNNNNNNNNNNNNNNNNNNNNNNNNNNNNNNNNNNNNNNNNNNNNNNNNNNNNNNNNNNNNNNNNNNNNNNNNNNNNNNNNNNNNNNNNNNNNNNNNNNNNNNNNNNNNNNNNNNNNNNNNNNNNNNNNNNNNNNNNNNNNNNNNNNNNNNNNNNNNNNNNNNNNNNNNNNNNNNNNNNNNNNNNNNNNNNNNNNNNNNNNNNNNNNNNNNNNNNNNNNNNNNNNNNNNNNNNNNNNNNNNNNNNNNNNNNNNNNNNNNNNNNNNNNNNNNNNNNNNNNNNNNNNNNNNNNNNNNNNNNNNNNNNNNNNNNNNNNNNNNNNNNNNNNNNNNNNNNNNNNNNNNNNNNNNNNNNNNNNNNNNNNNNNNNNNNNNNNNNNNNNNNNNNNNNNNNNNNNNNNNNNNNNNNNNNNNNNNNNNNNNNNNNNNNNNNNNNNNNNNNNNNCAGCCUUGUCUUUACUCAUUAUAACCAACGAAUAUGCAGCGAAGUGCCUUUUUGUCAAACUUGCUUCGAAGUUCAUCCGGAACGAAGACAUAACAUACGCAUCCAAAAAUGCGAAAAUGACUUACAGGUGGUUUAAUGUUCCACAAUUUCUGGAAUGGGGAUGUAAACUCCAGUCUUGCUUGAGGUAGUCUAUUGGUGACGUACACAACUGUCUUCAUGCACUCUGCCCAAAAUCUAGCUGGCACAUUCUUCGCAUGGAGCAAACUCCUGCANNNNNNNNNNNNNNNNNNNNNNNNNNNNNNNNNNNNAUUCUGCUGUGGUGUUCUUGGACAUGUGAAUUGCCUUCGAAUGCCUUGCUCUUGGCAAUAUUUAGUGAAUUCGUCAGACGUGUACUCUCCACCAUUAUCGGUGCGAAGGCAUCUAAUUUUAUUUUCGAUUUCUUUUUCAACUUUCUCCUUGAAAGCUUUGAAUUUUUCAAGAGCUUCUGACUUCACUAUCAUGAAAUCAACCCAAACAUAUCUCGUGUAGUCAUCGAUGAAAGUAAUCAUGUACCUCAUAUUACUGUUUAUAGGUUGCUUGAUCCGUCCAAGAACAUCUGAAUGUAUUAACUCCAAUGGCACCUUGGCUCUAUGUUUUGACUCUUCAAAGGGAAGUUGAUGGGCUUUUCUAUAUUGGCAUCCAGCACAUAUAUUGUCUUCUCGGCAUUCCAAAUGAGGAAGACCUUUAAGCAUGGACUUCUUCAUCAUCACCUUAAGCUUGUGAUAACUAACAUGUCCCAGACGAGCGUGCCAAAAGUCAGCUGUCUCAUUCUUCCUUGUUCUGUCAACAUAGGUUUCUUGUGCUGACAUGACGUAGAUUGAUUCUACUCGCCGUCCUUCCAUGACUGGAUCUCUGAUUAAUUUAAGGUUACGAUAAACCUUCACAUUAUCAGGACCGAACACCACAUAAUAACCUACACUUGUUAUUUGUGAUACAGAGAGCAAAUUUUUCUUCAUCUUUGGCACAUGGUAAACCAUCUGUAACUCCAUUUUCUCCUUACUAGAGGGAGAAACAAUGGUUGUCUUUCCAAUGUGAGCUAUUGGCAAUCUCGUGUUAUUUGCUAUGACUACAACACGACCUCCAUCAUAAUUGGAUACAUUCGAUAAUUUCUCCAUGUUUUCUGUCAUGUGAUUAGAACUUCCAGAAUCAACUAUCCAAUCAUCAUCAUAGUUGAUUCUAUCACUUACAGAUAUUAAUGACGACUCAUGUUCGGGUCCUUUCUGCAUCAUCUCUACUGGCUUUUGUAGAGAAUAUUCUUCCUCCUGAACAAAGAAACUGUGAAUAUCCCAUUCCUCUUCACUUUGUUGCUCGUUCUGGGUUGAUGCUGUGUUUCCUUCUACUCGUCUGCUUCGACAUUCUCGGGCGAAAUGUCCUCUUUUAUUGCACUUAUAGCAACGAUCAUUUUCUCGCCAAUCAUCUUUCCUUUGUCCUGGUCUUGCUCUCCCUUGCUGUGAUGGUCUCCACUUUUGCUUUCUCCAUCCUUGUUGAUUGCUCCUUUCUUUUCCACCAUCUACUCUCNNNNNNNNNNNNNNNNNNNNNNNNNNNNNNNNNNNNNNNNNNNNNNNNNNNNNNNNNNNNNNNNNNNNNNNNNNNNNNNNNNNNNNNNNNNNNNNNNNNNNNNNNNNNNNNNNNNNNNNNNNNNNNNNNNNNNNNNNNNNNNNNNNNNNNNNNNNNNNNNNNNNNNNNNNNNNNNNNNNNNNNNNNNNNNNNNNNNNNNNNNNNNNNNNNNNNNNNNNNNNNNNNNNNNNNNNNNNNNNNNNNNNNNNNNNNNNNNNNNNNNNNNNNNNNNNNNNNNNNNNNNNNNNNNNNNNNNNNNNNNNNNNNNNNNNNNNNNNNNNNNNNNNNNNNNNNNNNNNNNNNNNNNNNNNNNNNNNNNNNNNNNNNNNNNNNNNNNNGCUUCCUUUGGUGUUUUAGCCGACUUGAUCCGUUGCAUCUGCUCAUCUUCUACUGCAACCGUCAGCACAUACAUCGCCUUCCCGCAUUUUGUCUCCCACUCUUUCAAAGCUUUUGCAUCCCCAACUGGUGGUGUAGUAUUAUCUCCUCCGACGAUAUCCCAUAAGUCUUGACCUAUGAGAUAAUAUCUCAUACGGGUACUCCAGUUCCCGUAAUUGUUGCUAUUUAGCUUCUCAAUGCUAUUAGUAACUCCAGAGAAAUCCACCAUAAGGUACUGGUGUUCCUGACACUAACCAAUGCACAACGGUCCUUGACCAAUCACAAUCACAAUCCUUACUUGUGAAUUUGGUUGCUUCAACAACAGUCCCCGACUGUUAAUUCCAGCAGAGUAACAAUACCCUGCACUUGUAAAUGAACACCACCAAAUACCAUGGCUACAACAACUACCACCACAACCAGGCUCUGAUACCACUUGUUGGAUAUCAGCUCUGAUAUCACUUGUUGGGAUUAAUGCUCUGAUACCACUUGUUAGAUAUCAGCUCUGAUACCACUUGUUGGAUAUAAGUGUAGUGAUAAACUCCAAGAUUGAUUAAUAAUUUAUAACACCAAGAAUAAUAACGGGAAAGGCAACCAAAAUAAUACUAACACAAAACACCAAAUAUAAUUAUAUUAAUAAGAAGCAAACAUUCACAAAGUUUAAGGAAAAGAUUACUUAUUUGGUUUUUGCUUGGUGCUUGCUUGGUUUUUACAAAUGAGGUGAGGGGUGGUAUUUAUAGGCAUUUCCACCUCCUCAAUGUACGGCUAAGAUUUGUCUACAAAAAUGGACGGUUUAGAUUACAUGGAGAAUUCUAGAACUAUGUUGACAUUAUACAAAAUAUCUUUUGGGUGGAGUAAUAUGGAGUAUUCUAGGGGCUUGGACCUCCAACUUUGGGCUUAAGGCUUCCCAAGUCUUGGCUUAUUAUAGCAGCCCAUUUUGAUGGUGACUAAAUUAAUCGGUGAUAUUUUAAUCAACUAAUGAGUCAGAUGAGUUGAGGUGCUGAGAAAUAAAUAAUCCCUUAUCCAUACUUCCUUCGUUCUUGUUCAAUUGUUGUGAUUGACUAUUGAGAUACUUGUGCAUGCUAUCCUCUACCUUUUCCAUGCGUGAAUUUAAACGUUUCAACCUUCUUCCCAUUUUAUACGCGAAAAUUGGAUCAUUUAGCGAGAAGCAGUGUCCAUCUUUCUUAUAUUCCUCUCUGAUCAUGCAAUCUGUUAAAAUGUCAUCAGCAUCAUAAGCCAAAUCUCUCAACUGAGACAAAGCUACCUCUAGAACUUGUUUCUUUUCCUUGAGCUUAUCCAUAUCAGCAAAGAAACCAUUGACAAUUUUAAGCUUAUCCUUCAAGUUCUGGAGGUCAGAUUUGAAGUCAAUUGCAUAUUGAGCUUGAUUUUUGAUCGCUUCAGUAAGUUCAUCUGCUAGUGUUUCAAGAAUCACAGUUGCCACUGCUUCCUUAUUCUUUACUUGUUUGGGCAGCACCUGUAAAGUUCACCAAUUUACCAAAAGAAUGUAACUCAACUGCCCAUAGGCUUGGGACUAAAAUGAAUAAUCUGUUAAUUUCUUUACAUCAACGGUAAUAUUAAUCAAACAAUAAUAUUCUAAAAAUUAUAUUACAUGUCCUUUUAUAUAUAUAUAUAUAUAUAUAUAACUAUCGGUGUUGAUUAAGAAGAAGGGUUUGAAAAAGAAAAAGAAGGUGGUCGUCUGUAUAGUGGACGAAGAGCAAGUAUCGGGUGGAAAGAGAAGAAAAAGAAAAAGAGAAGAGGGAAAGUAGAAGAAUAGAAGGGGAUGUAGCUUUGGACAUUCGUUUGGUUGUUUUUGUUUGGGAUUAGUGAGAUUACUGUUUUAGGUUCUGAAUUAUGGCCAUCUUUGAAGUUCUCAAAUUAGCUUACUCACAAGGUUACACCAAGGUUCAGGUAGAAAAUGAUAAUUUGUUAGUUGUAAGUACUAAAUAUCAUUAAUGGUGUCCUGUUGCUGUUUGGCUUUUGUUUUGUUAAUUUGAUAGUUCUUUUCCUUGAAUUAGUCCAUUCAUAUUUCUCAUAUUUUUGUAGAAGCUAAUUGGUGGCAAUGACGUGCUCUAUAAGUGCAUAGUGGUACAAAUAGUAUAGAAAAAUUAUCGCCUUCAUAAAAAAUAAAUUGUUGAUUAUUAAAUUAUUAUGAUUUGAAUUAUCUAAAAUUCUAAAGAGAGCUAAGAAUAAACUAAACAAUUAACAUAAAAAUAGAAAUAAACAACUAACAAAAUAUAAGACUAAUAUAAUCUAAAGGCCUAGUGUUGAGAGUUAUAUCAGCGUUAGCUUAAUAUAGUUAUUCACGAUCUUCCUAAAUUAACAAUAUUUAAUAUCUUAAAGAAGGUUAGCCUAACAUGUCCAAGUCCUUUUUCUAAAGCCAAAUGAGUGUUAGAAUCAAAUGAUAUCUACUUUUACAGUAUUAAGUUGAUUGAAAUCCAAUGAACAGGUGUCAACCCUUUUGCUCUUAAAGAUGAGCUAUCUAUACGAUGAAUUAAACAUCGUAUAGAUAUAUAUGCACUAUAUAUAUACACUUAAUAGCUAAAUUAAUUAUUUACAUGUAAAAAAUUAUUCCCUUCAUCUCAAAUAUUUCUCAAACAAUUUAGGUAUACCUAGUUAAAUUAGUUUGGAUAUAAAUUUUUUUUCUUAUUUUUUCGUGUGUAUAAUAAUAAUAAUAAUAAUUCCUUGAAAUAGGAGCAGCUUGCUAUGCUUCAUAUCAAACUUUGACGCUCAAGAAAUUACGUUGGCCAUCAACAAUGCAGGUUUGAAUUAUUCAUAUCAAGCUUCAUAUCUAAAAUAAAUAUUGUAGACAAGCGAACAUUGGGUUACUUCUGAACAUUGGGUUUUCUAUGAAUUAAAAUAAAUAAAAAUAUAGAUAGACUAGUAAAUAGUAGCAGUAUCACAAAAUAGGCCAUCUAAUCAAACCAUUACAUUCUUUUACAAGGUUGCAAUACAUAUAAAACUGUCCAAAAACAUAACAAGAAUACAAUAAAACAGAAAAAAAAAAAAAAAAAAAAAAACACCACCAUAAUAAUAAAUGAAAAUAGAGUCCAAAAUUAAAUUCCAAGUGUGAAAUUAAACAUCAGUCAUAUCCUUAACGGUUUUUUCACCCUGAAGCACGCUCACUACAUCUGAUAUUGGGGGUCGUUUAGAAGGCCAAUCGGUGCACAGCAUUGCCAACUCAACGAUGGUAAUGGCUUGAUAAAGCAUUGCUGAUGAUACUCUCCCUGGUGGACGCUCUUUCAAUGUUUCAUCAAUUAAUUGUUCGUACGUUUUUUGCUUGCGACACAUGUCGGCCUACAUUUAAACAGUUUUGCGAGUGAGUUUAAGGCCCUGUUCGGCCUUUGAGCAGAUUGGACCAAAUUAAAAUUCUAUUUCUAUUAAUUGUACUGUUUAAUAAUAGCUAUUAUAAUAGGUUUUAAACAUUGGAUGAGCUAUAUCAAUUGGUUUAAAACUCCUUGGUUUUUUCUCCAAAAGUCAGCUAAUUAAAUACUUAAUAUCUGUUUUUGUCAAUUUAAAUUAAACAUUUAAUUAAACCACUGUUUUUAUCGAACACUUUUAAUUUAAACCAUUAUAUAAAAAGUUAACAUGUAAUAGUUAACAGCUAACAGCUCAUAGAACACCUAACGGCUAAUAAAACAAUUAACUGAUACUAUAACAUCUAACCUAAGGAUCUUUUCGAUAAAAUUAGCUGUUUUGAUAAUUGUUAGAUGUCUUUUCAUAAAAUUUUAAAAAGUAAACGUUACAUGGAUUAACUUUCUUUUUAUAAAAUGGUACCUUAAUAUCUAAAAGUUAAUUCAAACGCUAUGUUACCGAAUACUGCAAAUAAUAGCGUUUAUUGUUUCGACUAAUCAAAACACUAAAAGCUAUCUAAAAAUUUAUUGUUGACGCUAUGUUUUUUUUAUCGGCAAAUAAAUUUCUUAAUUUUAUUAGAAAAGAGAAAACCGGGAAAAAGUUUAACUAAUUCAAGAAUCCAACCCAAGCCAAUAGACUUCUCUAAUACACCCAAACUAAGACCUUACUCUAUCUAAAAAUCUGUUGCAAACAGUGCCUAAGUGUCAUCGUUCAAGUAUGUUCACCUUAUAAAAGAACUAAUUAAAUAAAUAAAGAAAAAUAAAUAUGCAUUCAUUACCUUUUCCAAAAGAUAAAUACUAUUGCCAGGAUCUCCAAGGUUUUCAUCAAUCUUUUUCCCACUAAUGAUUUCAAGUAGCAGAAGGCCAAAGCUAUACACAUCAACUUUCACUGUUAUGUUAUUGUGAGAUACAUACUCAGGUGCCAUGUACUUCCUGCAUGUAACAUCAACAAAUUAUCCCUUUUUUUUUGUUGUUGUCUAUAAAGCAAUAGUGAAGAAAUUUUUGUUGUUUCAGUACUUACAGUGUACUUCCGGGAUCUUUAGUGAACAUAAAUGGAUCAUCUUCCUCCUAAAGCUUUGCCAAUCCAAAGUCUGAGAUUUUAGCAUUAUAAUCUCAAUCCCGCAGAAUAUUACUGGCCUUGAUAUUUCUAUGGAUUACGGCCGGCUCCCUUUUAUGUAAAAACUCCAAACCUAGGGCUAUUUGUUCACAAAUUUUGUAUCUUUUUUCCCAACUAAGUUGUGCCGAACAAUUAGCAUCUGCAUAUAAAUACUUAAUAAGUUAUAAAAUGGAUAUAAGAUCCGUGAGCUCCUGGGAUAAAAGAAAAUAACGUCCCAAAUAAGACUUCCUCAAGGGAUCCGUUUUCCAUAUAUUCAUAAAUUAGCAAAUGCAAGCCUCUUUUUGAAUAAGAACCCAGUAAUUUAACAAGAUUCUGAUCUCCUAAAUUAGACAAUGCAAAAACUUCUGCUCUUAUUUCAGCAGCUGCCUUUGAUUUUGGAAAAAGCUUCUUCACUGCUACUGUCAAAUUUGGCAGUAUAGCCUGCAAACAGAGCAGUGGAAGGAGAAAAACAUAAUGAACUAUAAUUAACGCCAAGAAAAUAACAAGAUAAAAGAUUUCAACCUUGUAGACUAUUCCAAAACGACCAUCCUUGCCAAUCUUUGUUUUUGGGCUGAAUUUUUGAGUGGCAUUAAUUAUUUCUUUAACACUGUAAGCCUGUUCUUCCGAAAGGUUUAUACGUGUUUCUGUGUUCCAAUUUCAAACAUCAAAUCAAAGAAGUUACAGUGUAUGUGUGUGUGUUUAUAAAUAUUAUUAGGGGAUGGAUGCUCUUACUGUGCAACUCUCUGUCUCCUAUCCAUCCCAUUCUCCACAGGAAAGCUAACAAAAGGAACAGAAAAAGGACGCAAGCUGCCGCAAUUGCAACUAUUUCCCAAGCUUUUAAUUUUCUUGGAGCUUCAAAACCCAAAAUGCAGUAGUCAUUAUGAAGUGAAAAAAAUUAAAAUGUUCGAUCACACACUGAAGCAAUAAAAUGUUCAACAUUAUACCACGCGUUAUGUAAAUAGCUGAAACGAGAGGUCCAUUAUCAUCUAGCGAUCCCCUACCAGCCCAGAAGAAGUCUAUCUGCAAUGGUUCGUGGUCAGGUAUUAUAGCCGUGAAACUUUUCAUAAUGGUCUUAUACUUAGCUCCUUCAGCCUCUUUCUGUAUGUUGAAAUCCUGUAAUACUUUCUUUCCCUGUAAUUAAAAUCAAGAACUCAAAAAUUAGUUUCAAUCGUCACAAGAGCAUUAUAACAAGUUCUAACCAAUAAAAAGAAUCCCCUUUAGAAACAAUUAGGCAAAUUACCUGAAUAUGUACCUCAAAAAUGCGUUUCUUCAGAAUACUAUAAUCUUCCUUUUUGGAAAAUGAAGUUUCAGCAAAAAAAAGUUUGAUAUUGUAUUUGCCUUUACGCAAGCAGAAGGCAUAAUAGGUAAGGAAGAUAGGAGCAACACGAGCAUUGACGUAUAGGUCUCCCUCAGGAACGGAAACUCCACAUGUUAAGUUCUCUCUGGUGGUUGGAGUGAUGGCGCCUCCAGAAACGCUAUAAGCCCAAUUUCCAUCAGG
rnacentral:lncRNA from 1 species